rnacentral:rRNA from 1 species
GCCCAGUGCCAUGAAUGUCAAAGUGAAGAAAUUCAACGAAGCGCUGGUAAACGGCGGGAGUAACUAUGACUCUCUUAGGGCACGACUCGAGAAGAGUCUUGGCGCAUUUUGUCCAACAGGCUGGCCCAGCGAACGGAUAAGCUUGCGCAGUUCUGCCGCGCCUGCGAUUUCCUAGUAGACAUCUUGCGCUGGUUAAUAUGGUUUAGUCAGACCCGAUCUGCCGGACGCCCGACGUUCCGGAUAUGAACGGAUAAGCUUGUGCCUCUCUGCCGCACUUGCGAUUUCCUAGUAAGCUAGACCAUAUGUCCCUGUGACCCUAAGUUCCUGCAUGCUAGUUGUUAGUGGAUGCAGACCGGUUUUAUCUUACCAUAUCGCAACCUGUUGGACAGGAAGUCUGAUGGUAGAAGUAGAUAUGGAAGCGAUUGUGUUUCCGCCACUCUCACGUGGGUCCUGGCGCUUUAGUGGGCCGAACUUUCGCGAGAGCAGUGUGGUUCUGGUUGCAACCUUUCUACUUACUGGCCCACUUAUCGGGGGAAGUCCUGUACGUUUUGGCUAUUACGGAACACAUAGGACCCUUCGAAUACGCAUGCAUGGAAAAGCUCUGCGGUAACCUUCGUCCGGAGGGAUGCUGUAUCCCAAAGGAUAGGUAGAGUUGAGUUCCUGGGUUCCCUACAGCGGCUUACAGGGAUAACAGGAUUGCUAAUACCACAGAGCGACCGCACCGAGUCUGCUGACUGUUGCGGUAAGACGCCUCACUAAUUAGACGUGACAACCAUCUGCCCUCAGGCAUUUGGGGCGCAACGGCCUUUAUCUGGUGAAAGCCUGGAUCCAGAUGUGUAGGUCGAGUGAUCCUAAUCUCUAAGCAAAGCGCAACGUGAAGCGCUAGCAUUUGGGUGCAAUGGAUUGCUAAAGGGAGUCAAGCUCCUCCGGGUGGACUCGUGCGACCGGCUCGCCCAAGUGAACGGAUAAGCUGUGCAGUCUGCCCGCGCAGUGAAUUCCUAGUAAACUCUCCAUCCAUAAAGAUUGCUCAUGAUGGCCGGCAACGGUUAUUCAAUAAAUAGCCAAAUGCCUCGUCAUCUAAUUAGUGACGCGCAUGAAUGGAUCAACGAGAUUCCCACUGUCCCUAUCUACUAUCUAUCGAAACCACAGUCCGGGGAACGGGCCGGACAGAAUCAGCGGGGAAAGAAGACCCUGUUGAGCUUGACUCUAGUCUGACAUUGUGAAGAGACAUGAGAGGUGUAGCAUAAGUGGGAGCGAAAGCGCAAGUGAAAUACCACUACUCUUAUCGUUUCUUCACUUACUCAGUAAUGAGGAAGUAGCCCUUGUUGGGCACAUUUCUGGAGAAAAGCAUCGAGCAUCCUCGUGGUGCUAGGUGCGAUCCUCGCUGAGGACAUUGUCAGGCGGGGAGUUUGACUGGGGCGGUACAUCUGUCAAAUUGUAACGCAGGUGUCCCAAGGUGAGCUCAGCGAGGACAGAAACCUCGCGUAGAGCAAAAGGGCAAAAGCUCACUUGAUUUUGAUUUUCAGUACGAAUACAGACCGUGAAAGCGUGGCCUAUCGAUCCUUUUGACUUUACGAGUUUUAAGCAAGAGGUGUCAGAAAAGUUACCACAGGGAUAACUGGCUUGUGGCAGCCAAGCGUUCAUAGCGACGUUGCUUUUUGAUCCUUCGAUGUCGGCUCUUCCUAUCAUUGCGAAGCAGCAUUCGCAAAGUGUUGGAUUGUUCACCC